GAAGUAGUCAUGUUUAAAUCUCCUAUGGUCGAGGGUAAAAUGACUCGAUCAUUUAUCAAAGUAAGAGUUCUAGUUGAUUGGACUAAUCCUCUUGUGUCGAGAUUUUGGAUCCCUCACCCACAAUGCAAACCUGUAAGGAUUUCAGUGAAGUAUGAAAGGCUCCAAAAAUUUUGUUACAAGUGUGGCCGCAUUAAACAUAAUAGUAAGCAUUGUCAAUUUACCAGUGAAGAAAUAGAAGAAGAAAUAGAGAAGGAAGAGUUUGGUAGUUGGAUGGGUAUAUCAAAUGUUAAGAAUUUAAAGGAUGCUAUUAAAGUGUAUAGGUCUGAUUAGGUUGAGGCUUCAAUGGUCGGUGUUGGUAAAACUCCAACCACUAGCACAUGACAGAGGAAGGAUGACUUGGGCCGACCAUUGUUACAAGGAAAGAAUAGAUAUUUGGGCAUUAAAAUUAGAUUUAGAGAGAAGAUCAGGAUGCAAAAAGAUAAAAGGUAAUCCCUCUAUUACUAGUAAUGAUGAUAGAAGAGAGAAACCUUUACAUCAUAUUGAUCAUGCGAAGGUGGUUUCGGAGCUAUUUACAAGUAAGGAUCUAGCAAUUAAUAAGGAUUGCAAUUUUGUGAGCUCUAAUGUCACUAAUAGUGAAACUCUACAUAAUGGGCCUAACUCUAAGGAGGCCUACAUCAAUUGGAGUAUAGUUGAGGUAGAAGGGUCUGUUAAUAUUCCUAAAAGCCCAAAAGCAUAUAUUAUUGAAUUCCCUAAGGAAGACUUAAGCAGUAUUGGGGCCUUAGUUCCUUUUAUUGGGCUAUCACCUAUGUCUAAAAUUACAAAUGGGCUGUGACAAGUUGUGUUUAAACGACAAACAGAGGAGCCUAAUAGUCUAAUAGCUUUUAAAUGUAGGAAAUUGUUUAUGAAAGAGGCAGAGAUUAGCAAUUCAAUUCAAGGGCAAGGGUCAGUGGAUUCACAAAUUAUCAAAGUUUCCUAUAGAAGUAUUAAAAACCAGAUUUGCUCUCGAAGAGGGAGGGGAGUAGGUAGAAGAAGGAUAUUGUCUCAGCUUGUUAGUAAAGAUUACCAGGUAUGAGUUAAUUUUUCAUCAGAUAGAUUUAUUUUUGGUGAAGAUUUGUCUGCCAUAAAGGAAGAUGUUGAUAGCUUUGACGUCGGUGGUAAGGACGAACACACUACCAGUUCACCAUGAAAAUAUUAUCUUGGAAUUGCUAAGGUUUGGGGGUUCCCUUCGUAAUCAAAAAUAUCAGAGAUGAAUGCAAAAAGAAUAAUUCCCAAAUAGUGUUUCUUAUGGAGACCAAGAAGAAAAUAAGCUAUAUGUUGAAGAUUAGAAGAAAGUGCAGGUUUGAUGAAGAAUGGACUGUAGACCCUUAAGGGCUCAGUGGAGGGCUUGUUGUUUGGUGGCGCAAAGAAGUGGUAAUUAAUAUUCUAUCUUCCUCUUUGAAUAUUAUUUAUACCAGUAUUUUUCCUUCUACUUUGGAUUUUUUGCAAUAUAUAUCCUUUAUAUACGGCCCACCAUGUGAAAAAGAUAGGCUUUAGGUUUAGCAAGUUCUGAUUAGACAAGCACAGGGUAUACAUAGACUAUGGAUUUGUUUGGGUGACUUUAAUGAUAUUGUGUCCCCAAGAGAAAAGGAAGGUGGUAAUUUAAGGGCAAUUCGGAAGAUGAUUAAUUUCUAACUAUUUAUUACAGACUGCUCAUUAAUGGAUCUUAGGUAUACUGGGUCAUGGUUCACUUAGUAUGAGACAUGAUGCUGACACUAUUAAAGAAAGAAUUGAUUGUGUAUUGGACAAUGUUGAUCCUUAUGAAGCAUUUCCAAAACUCUAGGUUUUCAAUAUUGAUCCAAUAGGCUCUGAUCAUCACUUGUUAUUAGUAGACUUAUGCAUUAUUGUUGGUAAAUCUCCUAGAAAUUGGGUUUUCUAUCUAGAUGACAAAAGGGUUAGUAUUUUGGAUGUGUUUAUGUAUAGACUUAAUUAUUGCAGGAAUUCAUUAGUUCGAUGGAGCUCUGAAAUGAUUCCUAAUAGUAAGAAAUGAAUUAAUGAGCUACAGAAUGAGUUAGUAGACUGUAGACAAGGAGAAAUUACAUAUGAGAAUCCCAAAUUAGCAGAAACCAUUAUGGCUGAAAUUGAAUGUUUGAUGGAUAAGGAAGAGGUGUAUUGGAGGCAGAGAUCGAGGAUUUCUUGGCUUUAAUCUAGUGAUAAAAAUUCAAAGUUUUUCUAUUUAUCUACUAUUUCAAGGCACUAGAGAAAUAACAUCUUAAGAAUCAGAGAUGAUCACGGUAUCUGGGUGAAUGAAUUAUCAAAUGUCUAAUCUAUUUUCAAGAUUUUAUGAGUAAUUGUUCCAAGUAUCACUACCAUGACCAUUUGAUGAAGCUCUUAGUUAUAUUGAUCGUCGAAUUGAUGAUCAUAUCAAUGAAUGCUUGUUACUACCUGUGACAAAAGAGGAAGUUCGCAUGAUUGUCUUUAGUCUGGGUGCAUCAAAGGCUCCAGGCCUUGAUGGCUUCUUUGAUAAAUUUUAUCAAUUAGCAUGUGUAGAGGUUAGUGAUAGUAUUUUUAUGAUGGUUAAGGAUUUCUUUGAUGGGAUGAUUGUGUUGGCUGAUAUCAACGAUACUAAUAUCACUUUAAUUCCUAAAGUUGAUAGACCAGGGCAUGUAUCUUACUUUAGACUGAUUGGGUUGUGUAACUUUUCUUACAAAGUCAUUUCUAAGAUACUUGCUACUCAUAUGAAGCCAUAUCUUCACAAGUACAUUUCAUUAAGCCAAGGUGCCUUCAUACCUGGGUGUUGUAUUCAUGAUAAUAUGAUAAUAGCACAUAAAGUUUACUAUUAUUUAAGGAUGAAGAGGAGUUCCCUUAAGAUAAACAUGAGUAAAGCUUAUGAUAGAAUUGAAUAGGACUUUCUUCAUCUUGUCUUACAGAAGUUGGGUUUUAGUACUAGAUGGGUUAAUAUGAUUAUGCUUUAUGUGGAAUUUGUGAACUUGAACCUCUAUUUCUUAGGAAACAGAGUUACUUCUUUCAAACCUGGGAGGGGCUUGAGAUAAGAGGACCUACUCUCUCCUUACUUGUUCAUUUGAGUUUUUGAGGUAUUAUCUAGUAUGAUUGAAAAAUUUCAUGCUUUGGAUAAAUUGAAAGGGGUUAAAAUGAGUACUCAAUGUCUUACUGUUACCCAUAAUUUCUUUAUAGAUGAUGCACUCUUCUUCAUGAAUGUAAACUAGUCUAAUUGCAGAAGUCUAGCUAAGAUUCUAAAGAUUUACUAUGAUGCAUCGAGCCAAGUGGCAAAUUUAGACAAGUCCUUCAUCUUCUUCUCUGAGAAUACUCCUAUUUCUAUUAGAAACUCUGUCUGCACAAUUUUAGGAAUUAAUGAGGCUGAUGAUCCUGGGCGGUACCUUGGAAUUCUGAGUAUAUGGGGCAAAACCAAGUAUCAAGCAGUUUCUUAUGUUAGGGACAGAGUUAGUACAAAAGUGAAUGGGUGGACUAGGAAAUACUUAUCAUAUGCUAGUUGAGAAGUCUUAAUUAAGGUAGUGGUUAAUGCUAUUCCAACCUACCUUAUGAUGUGCUUCAAGUUCCCUAUGAAAACUUGCAAGGAACUCGAUAGCCUGAUUUUUAACUUUUGGUGGGAUAGUAGCUCAACUAGAAGCAAAAUCCAUUAGAUAGCUUGGCAUAAUAUGACUAAGCCCAAAAUGAGGGAGGUAUGGGUUUUAAGGACCUUGUUAAUUAUAAUCUUGCAUUUUUGGCCAAAACUACAUGGCGAGCAUUUUAAAAUCCUGAUGAUUUAUGGGUUAGAAUCAUAAAAGGUAUUUAUUUCCCUAAUAAGCACUUUCUUGAUGUUAAAAAAGGUUCUCAUGCCUCUUGGUACUGGUUAAACAGUAGAGAUUUUCUAAAGCUAAAUCUAUGUUGGCAAAUUGGUGAUGGACUAACUGCUUUGAUUUAGAAGGAUAACUGGAUUCCUUCUCUACCUAAUCAUCAUUUGGAUACUAAGGAUAGAGAGCUUGCUAAAUCUGAUGUUGUGGUGGCUACUCUUAUAAAUAAUCGCCAAUGGAGGUUGGCAGGUGUGUCUCGCUUAAUAGAUGAUACAACCUUUCAUGCCAUACAACCUUUCAUGUAUCAAAUGAUAAGCUUUUUUGGAGUCCUGCAAAUUCUGGCAUUUAUUCUGUAAAGCAUGGCUAUGCCAAGGUGAUGAAGGAUAAAAGCGAUGGAAAAUCUAUAGCAAGCACAUCAACUACUAUCACUCAAGCCACCUGGAAAAAGGUUCUGCAUAUUUUCUUCUCGAUCUGUGCAUCUCUUCAUCAUCUCAUUCUGCUUGGCAUUUUUCAUCGAUCAUUAUCUGUGAUCUUCGUUCUGUGCAUCGCAUCGCCAUUGAUCUUCAUUCUGUGCAUCGCAUCGCUAUUGGAGUCAGAAGUUUCCGCAUCACAAUUGUCCGCGAGCACCACUGUUCAGCCACCAUCGGAGGAAAUCAUGGUUCCUCACCUCAAUAGAAACAAUAGGACAGAGAAGCAAAAAGGAGAGGAAUGUUUGAAUCCAUGCUAAAACACAAUAGAAAAGAGAGAUGACGCAUCAGAAUUGGAAGGAGACGAGGAAAAACCUGGAGCUCAACCUGUCACAGCAGCUCGAACAGAGGGAGGAGAGGAGAGGAGAGGAGUUCACCAUAAAAAAAAAUAGGGGAGGAAGAAGCCCGACGAAAACGCGCGCCACAGCACUGUCAAAGGAAGGAGAUUUCAGUGUUUUCCUUUAGUCACCAGCAGCGGACGGCGAGAAGGGAGAAGAGUCUUAAAUGCUAAUAGAGGAAGAGCUUCAACAGAGCUUCCGUAGUCUUCAGCAGCGACGAACGAUAAGGAAAAUGAAAGGGAAGAGAGACCUGAACAUUCACAUCAUCACUCACAUACAGAAAGGAGAAGGACGUUGAUGAUCUGACAAGCAGUGACAGAUGAAGCUCUGGCACACUCUCACACUGACGACGCCGAAGAUGGAAGAAGAUGGAGAAGGAAAGAAAAUCGAAGAACUCCCUAUCUCUGUGAUUUCUGGAGCAUUCCCCCGACAGAAAGAAGAAGAAAAAAGGAGAAAAAUAAAAAAGGAAGAAGCAACAUGUGUCUUGGCCUUUGUUUUUUUUGGCUGAAGGGCAUUUUGGUAAUUAUAUGAAGGCAGAAGAAUUUUUCUUCAUCCAAUAUCAAUAUAUAAUAAUAAUUGUGUUUAAAUUGAGAAGUAAAACUACAUUUUAGGUAAAAUAUUAUAGCAAUUAAUGUUUAAAGCAAUGGUCAAAACUUGUAAUUACAAUAGCAACAUAAGAGAAUUAUUGUCCAAGAGCACUUGGUACAGGUAGAAAAAUGUUGCCUAUUCUUACUAGCAAGAGGCAAAAACCGUUGCCUUUUUUAAUCAAUAGUCACAUGAUAACACCUUAAUUCAACAUGCUAAAACCGUUGCCAAUUAUAAUAGCAUACACCAACAAGGAAAACCAUUAAUGCCUAUUAUACCAACAUGUUAACAGGUAAGAACUGUUGCCUAUUCAUACCAACAGGUAAAAAAUGUUGCAUAUGAUAAUACCUUAAACCCGUUGCCUAUAGUGAGACUAUAGGCAAUGGUUUUAUGGUCUGUGGCCUAAAAUAUUAAAAAACUAAUGCCUUAGACAAUAAGUAACAGGGGCAAAUUCCACACCUAAAAACCGUUACCUAUUCCUAUAGGCAACGGUUUUCCACCUUAUGGCAACAGUUUCAGACCAUUGCCACAGAACAAAAAUGUUGUAGUGUAAGAAGCCAUAAGGGAAUCAACCCUACAUUGUAGAACAUGGCAGAGUUUGUGACCUCAUCGUGGCAGGUAAGUGGGAUCUUUCCCUUAUUCAUGAUCUUCUCUCAUAGAAUAUAUUGGAUGCAAUCUUGCAAAUUUUGUUAUCAAAUUAUGGUGUGGCUGAUAAUUUGGUAUGGACAAAAGCAAUAGAUGGGGUUUACCAAGUCAAACUUGGAUAUAAGGUGGCAAAAAAGCAAGCUGGGAUGCCCUUAACUAAGGCUGGCCCCUCUUGGAGUGUAUCAUUAGGAACUUGGAGAGGUAUCUAGAAAAUCAAAUGUGCGCCAAGGGUCCAACAUUUCAUUUAGAGAGUGGUGUCAAAGGUAGUAGUCACAAAUGCUUCCCUGUAUGCUCGAAAGAGAUUUCAAAACAAGGUAUGUAUGGUUUGUGGAUUAGAAUUGAAAACCAUUGAACAUCUCUUUUUUCUAUGUAAUUGGGUCAGACCUGUUUGGUUUGGAUGCAUUUUAGGAAUCAGGUUUGAUCAUUAUAAUGUGACCAGUUUUGAAGCUUAGUGGGAGGGGCUUAUGAAUAUUAAAAGUGGACUUACUGAAGUUGAUAUUGCAUUUACUUGUUGGCUUCUCUGGCAUAUAUGGAGAAGUAGAAAUGUGAAAGUAUUUGAUAAUGUAGAGCCUACUCCUGUACGAGUUCUUGAUCUAGCCAAAUAUUCACAUUUCGAGUUCUGGUUAGCAUGUGAUUCCCCUACUAAUAGAGUCUCCACUGUUAUUCAUCCUAAUGUGAAACAUUGAUGCCGCCUCUUAUUGGGUCUUAUAAGAUAAAUAUUGGUGCUACCUUUGCUGAAGAAUCACCACAUUCUGCUUUUGGAGUAAUAUGCCGGGAUGCUAAUGGCUUAUUUUAGUAGGGUUUUAUGGAUUAAGUGAAAUCACUCUUUACGUUUAUGUCUGAAGCCUUGGCUCUUAAAAGGGCCCUCACGCUUGCCAUAAACAUGGGUCAUGAUAAAGUCAUAUUUGAGACUGACUAUUUACUCUUGGUCAAAAGUAUUUCUCUUAAUCAGCUUGAUUUGCAUGACUGGAGAUGUAGAAGUAUUAUCCAUGGGUGUAUUACAGCUCUUUCGUCCAAGGUUGUGUUUCUUUGUGCUAUACUCCUCGUCAGAGUAAUCAAGCAGCUGACUUUCUUGCAGCUGUUGCUUCUAAGGAUGUGUACCCAUUAGGGUGGGUGUCUGAGCCAACACUUCCUUUGUCUACCAUUCUAACCUCGGAUGCCAUUGGAGUUUGUUACUCUGCUCGUGCUUCCUCUUUUGCAAAUUGUGCUGAUUAUUAUUGAUUUUUUUGCUGUAUUUGGUUUUUGUUUUUCGAUUCAGUUCUUUGAACUCUUCGUUGCUAUACUCUUUAUCUGUUGAAUGCAUGGGACUUUUCUUAUUAAAAAAAAAUCUACAGUUAAAUGAAUCAUACAUACCGUACAUGAGUAUGAGAAUGGUAAGGAGAAGAUGUUGGAAGUGAUAAAAUAUUUUGAAGCUUCUAUAUGUUUUGGUAAUAAAUAAAUUUAACAUGUCCUCACCAUUUAACAAAAUUAUUUUAUUAUAAGG